UAGGGAAUAUUGGGCAAUGGAGGCAACUCUGACCCAGCCAUGCCGCGUGCAGGAAGAAGGCGCUCAGCGUUGUAAACUGCUUUUAUCGGGGAAGAAACGACCCUUGCGAGGGGCAUUGACGGUACCCGAUGAAUAAGCACCGGCUAACUCCGUGCCAGCAGCCGCGGUAAUACGGAGGGUGCAAGCGUUGUCCGGAUUUAUUGGGUUUAAAGGGUGCGCAGGCGGGAAGGUUAGGUCGUGGUGAAAGACGAUCGCUCAACGAUUGCAGUGCCAUGAAUACUGCCUUUCUUGAAUCUGGUUGAGGCCGGUGGAAUUGACCGUGUAGCGGUGAAAUGCAUAGAUAUGGUCAAGAACUCCAAUUGCGAAGGCAGCCGGCUGGGCCAGUAUUGACGCUCAGGCACGAGAGUGCGGGGAUCAAACA
rnacentral:rRNA from 1 species